GACGAACGCUGGCGGCGUGCCUAAUACAUGCAAGUAGAACGCUGAAGGAAGAGCUUGCUUCUCUGGAUGAGUUGCGAACGGGUGAGUAACGCGUAGGUAACCUGCCUGGUAGCGGGGGAUAACUAUUGGAAACGAUAGCUAAUACCGCAUAAUAGUAGAUGUCGCAUGACAUUUGCUUAAAAGGUGCAAUUGCAUCACUACCAGAUGGACCUGCGUUGUAUUAGCUAGUUGGUGAGGUAACGGCUCACCAGGGCAACGAUACAUAGCCGACCUGAGAGGGUGAUCGGCCACACUGGGACUGAGACACGGCCCAGACUCCUACGGGAGGCAGCAGUAGGGAAUCUUCGGCAAUGGACGGAAGUCUGACCGAGCAACGCCGCGUGAGUGAAGAAGGUUUUCGGAUCGUAAAGCUCUGUUGUAAGAGAAGAACGAGUGUGAGAGUGGAAAGUUCACACUGUGAC
rnacentral:rRNA from 1 species